GCGAUCGUGGCGAAGUUGGUUAACGCACCGGAUUGUGGUUCCGGCAUUUCGCGGGUUCGAGCCCCGUCGGUCGCCCCA
rnacentral:tRNA from 1 species